rnacentral:rRNA from 1 species
AUUGAACGCUGGCGGCAUGCUUUACACAUGCAAGUCGAACGGUAACAGGCCGCAAGGUGCUGACGAGUGGCGAACGGGUGAGUAAUGCAUCGGAACGCGCCCAGUCGUGGGGGAUAACGCAGCGAAAGCUGUGCUAAUACCGCAUACGAUCUAUGGAUGAAAGCGGGGGACCGUAAGGCCUCGCGCGAUUGGAGCGGCCGAUGUCAGAUUAGGUAGCUGGUGGGGUAAAGGCCCACCAAGCCAACGAUCUGUAGCUGGUCUGAGAGGACGACCAGCCACACUGGGACUGAGACACGGCCCAGACUCCUACGGGAGGCAGCAGUGGGGAAUUUUGGACAAUGGGCGCAAGCCUGAUCCAGCAAUGCCGCGUGCAGGAAGAAGGCCUUCGGGUUGUAAACUGCUUUUGUACGGAACGAAACGGUCUGGGUUAAUACCCUGGGCUAAUGACGGUACCGUAAGAAUAAGCACCGGCUAACUACGUGCCAGCCGCCGCGGUAAAAC